GAUGAACGCUGGCGGCGUGCCUAAUACAUGCAAGUCGAGCGAACAGACGAGGAGCUUGCUCCUUUGACGUUAGCGGCGGACGGGUGAGUAACACGUGGGUAACCUAUCUAUAAGACUGGGAUAACUUCGGGAAACCGGAGCUAAUACCGGAUAAUAUUUCGAGCCGCAUGGUUCGAUAGUGAAAGAUGGCUUUGCUAUCACUUAUAGAUGGACCUGCGCCGUAUUAGCUAGUUGGUAAGGUAACGGCUUACCAAGGCAACGAUACGUAGCCGACCUGAGAGGGUGAUCGGCCACACUGGAACUGAGACACGGUCCAGACUCCUACGGGAGGCAGCAGUAGGGAAUCUUCCGCAAUGGGCGAAAGCCUGACGGAGCAACGCCGCGUGAGUGAUGAAGGUCUUCGGAUCGUAAAACUCUGUUAUUAGGGAAGAACAAACGUGUAAGUAACUGUGCACGUCUUGACGGUACCUAAUCAGAAAGCCACGGCUAACUACGUG
rnacentral:rRNA from 1 species